CUAUAUGUACCCUGUAGAACCGAAUUUGUGUGGUUUUAACAGUCACAGAUUCGAUUCUAGGGGGAUAUAUGGU
rnacentral:pre_miRNA from 1 species